CACAUCCGGUCUGUGUGAACUCUGACCACAUUAUAAUUUUCAUUUCCAUUUGACAGUAGUCCCUGAGAAAAAGGGAAAAUCCUCCAAGAGAAGUGUGUUUCAUCUGUGAGCAAGCCAGUGCCACGAUGACCAUCACGUUGCCUUUGUACCACAGAGCACAUGAUGCAGCCCGCUGUGCCUUUGUUGACGUGACUUUUUGCUCAACCAGUGGUCUUCAAUUCUCAGCAAGCCACUGA
rnacentral:lncRNA from 1 species